rnacentral:rRNA from 1 species
AGAACGAACGCUGGCGGCAUGCCUAACACAUGCAAGUCGAACGAAGCCUUCGGGCUUAGUGGCGCACGGGUGCGUAACACGUGGGAAUCUGCCCUUAGGUACGGAAUAACUCAGGGAAACUUGAGCUAAUACCGUAUGAUGUCUUCGGACCAAAGAUUUAUCGCCUAAGGAUGAGCCCGCGUCGGAUUAGCUAGUUGGUGGGUAAAGGCCUACCAAGGCGACGAUCCGUAGCUGGUCUGAGAGGAUGAUCAGCCACACUGGGACUGAGACACGGCCCAGACUCCUACGGGAGGCAGCAGUGGGGAAUAUUGGACAAUGGGCGAAAGCCUGAUCCAGCAAUGCCGCGUGAGUGGAGAAGGCCUUCGGGUGUAAAGCUCUUUUUACCCGGGAAGAUAAUGACUGUACCGGAGAAUAAGCCCCGGCUAACGUCCGUGCCAGCAGCCGC